AGGACGAGGCCUGUACAUUGCACUCCGUAUGGGCUGACUCCUGCGACUACCCCAAAUCGGGGUGGCUCGAGCGCAUAAUUUUUGGUAGUGGGGACAAGCGUUCGCGCUGUCCCUU
rnacentral:snRNA from 1 species